GCCGCGUGAGUGAUGAAGGCCCUAGGGUUGUAAAGCUCUUUCACCGGAGAAGAUAAUGACGGUAUCCGGAGAAGAAGCCCCGGCUAACUUCGUGCCAGCAGCCGCGGUAA
rnacentral:rRNA from 1 species